GAACCAUGAUGAGUCUAUCCCGAACCUGAAUUGUGAUGACACAUUCUAUGGAUCUGACUGCUGAGUU